rnacentral:rRNA from 1 species
AUUCCGGUUGAUCCUGCCGGAGAUCACUGCUAUUGGGGUCCGACUAAGCCAUGCGAGUCGAGAGGGUUCGGCCCUCGGCAAACGGCUCAGUAACACGUGGGUAACCUGCCCUCAGGACAGAGAUAACCCCGGAAAACUGGGGAUAAUAUCUGAUAGGUGGAUAUGUCUGGAAUGACUUUCCGCUCAAAUGCUCCGGCGCCUGAGGAUGGGCCUGCGACCGAUUAGGUUGUUGGCGGUGUAAUGGACCACCAAGCCUGCGAUCGGUACGGGCGUUGAGAGACGUAGCCCGGAGAUGGGGACUGAGACACGGCCCCAGGCCCUACGGGGCGCAGCAGGCGCGAAAACUCCGCAAUACACGAAAGUGUGACGGGGGGACCCCAAGUGCAUUCACGCAAGUGAAUGCUUUUGUGAAGUGUAAAUAGCUUUGCGAAUAAGAGCUGGGUAAGACCGGUGCCAGC